rnacentral:rRNA from 1 species
AAUGGGUCAGCGACUUAUAUUCUGUAGCAAGGUUAACCGAAUAGGGGAGCCGAAGGGAAACCGAGUCUUAACUGGGCGUUAAGUUGCAGGGUAUAGACCCGAAACCCGGUGAUCUAGCCAUGGGCAGGUUGAAGGUUGGGUAACACUAACUGGAGGACCGAACCGACUAAUGUUGAAAAAUUAGCGGAUGACUUGUGGCUGGGGGUGAAAGGCCAAUCAAACCGGGAGAUAGCUGGUUCUCCCCGAAAGCUAUUUAGGUAGCGCCUCGUGAAUUCAUCUCCGGGGGUAGAGCACUGUUUCGGCAAGGGGGUCAUCCCGACUUACCAACCCGAUGCAAACUGCGAAUACCGGAGAAUGUUAUCACGGGAGACACACGGCGGGUGCUAACGUCCGUCGUGAAGAGGGAAACAACCCAGACCGCCAGCUAAGGUCCCAAAGUCAUGGUUAAGUGGGAAACGAUGUGGGAAGGCCCAGACAGCCAGGAUGUUGGCUUAGAAGCAGCCAUCAUUUAAAGAAAGCGUAAUAGCUCACUGGUCGAGUCGGCCUGCGCGGAAGAUGUAACGGGGCUAAACCAUGCACCGAAGCUGCGGCAGCGACACUAUGUGUUGUUGGGUAGGGGAGCGUUCUGUAAGCCUGUGAAGGUGUGCUGUGAGGCAUGCUGGAGGUAUCAGAAGUGCGAAUGCUGACAUAAGUAACGAUAAAGCGGGUGAAAAGCCCGCUCGCCGGAAGACCAAGGGUUCCUGUCCAACGUUAAUCGGGGCAGGGUGAGUCGACCCCUAAGGCGAGGCCGAAAGGCGUAGUCGAUGGGAAACAGGUUAAUAUUCCUGUACUUGGUGUUACUGCGAAGGGGGGACGGAGAAGGCUAUGUUGGCCGGGCGACGGUUGUCCCGGUUUAAGCGUGUAGGCUGGUU